GAGUUUGAUCCUGGCUCAAGAUGAACGCUGGCGGCGUGCCUAACACAUGCAAGUCGAACGGGGUCAUUAAAGAAAAAUCCUUCGGGAUUCGGAAUUCUUGACCUAGUGGCGGACGGGUGAGUAACGCGUGAGCAAUCUGCCAUUGGAUGGGGGAUAACAGCCGGAAACGACUGCUAAUACCGCAUAAUGCAGCGGGACCGCAUGGUUUUGCUGCCAAAGAUUUAUCGUCCAAAGAUGAGCUCGCGUCUGAUUAGCCAGUUGGCGGGGUAACGGCCCACCAAAGCGACGAUCAGUAGCCGGACUGAGAGGUUGAACGGCCACAUUGGGACUGAGACACGGCCCAGACUCCUACGGGAGGCAGCAGUGGGGAAUAUUGCGCAAUGGGGGAAACCCUGACGCAGCAACGCCGCGUGAGUGAAGAAAGCCUUCGGGUUGUAAAGCUCUUUAAUCAGGGACGAAGAAUGACGGUACCUGAAGAAUAAGCUCCGGCUAACUACGUGCCAGCAGCCGCGGUAAUACGUAAGGAGCAAGCGUUAUCCGGAUUUACUGAGUGUAAAGGGCGUGUAGACGGGCCUGCAAGUCAGAAGUGAAAUCUGGAGGCUUAACCCCCAAACUGCUUUUGAAACUGUGGGGUCUUGAGUGG
rnacentral:rRNA from 1 species